rnacentral:rRNA from 1 species
ACGGGUGAGUAAUACAUCGGAACGUAUCCUGGAGUGGGGGAUAGCCCGGCGAAAGCCGGAUUAAUACCGCAUACGCUCUGAGGAGGAAAGCGGGGGACCUUCGGGCCUCGCGCUCAAGGGGCGGCCGAUGGCGGAUUAGGUAGUUGGUGGGGUAAAGGCCUACCAAGCCGACGAUCCGUAGCUGGUCUGAGAGGACGACCAGCCACACUGGGACUGAGACACGGCCCAGACUCCUACGGGAGGCAGCAGUGGGGAAUUUUGGACAAUGGGGGCAACCCUGAUCCAGCAAUGCCGCGUGUGUGAAGAAGGCCUUCGGGUUGUAAAGCACUUUUGUCCGGAAAGAAAUCAUCGGGGCCAAUACCCCUGGUGGAUGACGGUACCGGAAGAAUAAGCACCGGCUAACUACGUGCCAGCAGCCGCGGUAAUACGUAGGGUGCGAGCGUUAAUCGGAAUUACUGGGCGUAAAGCGUGCGCAGGCGGUGCUGUAAGACCGAUGUGAAAUCCCCGGGCUUAACCUGGGAACUGCAUUGGUGACUGCAGCGCUGGAGUAUGGCAGAGGGGGGGCGGAACUCCACGU